rnacentral:lncRNA from 1 species
AAAGCGCAGGUCCCCGCCUCGGCAGCCACGGGACACCUGCAUCUGCCAACAAGACUGGAAGCAGAAAGGGACAGAGACGGCGAAGUUUGACGGUCUGGAAAGCAGAGACCAGCAGGGCUGACUGCUUGGGAGCACCAAAUAUCCGGACAGCGCCUCUCGGGAGGUCCGAGAAGAGAACCGCGAUCUGUUUCAGCACCGGGGCUCAGGACAGUUCCCAGCGGGCUCCGUUUCGUCUCCAGAACCCUGGACAGCUCCUCCAGUAGAGACGGGGUUUCACCAUGUUGGCCAGGCUGGUCUCAAACUCUUGACCUCUUCAUCCGUCCACCUCAGCCUCCCAAAGUGCUAGGAUUACAGGCGUGAGUCACUGCGCCUGGCCCAAGUCCGGAAUUUUCAACAGGACAUGGGUGUUACUGUGCCCAUGUGACAUUUGGGGAACCCAAGGCCCUGAGAAAGGCAGAAAAAUAACCCACGCAGGGACUCUCAGCCCACAAGUGAAGCUGAGAACCGGGAAUGGAAAACAGGGAGGCAGCACAGAGGCAGGAAACUCAGGUGUCAUAGCUUGGCUCAGCCUCAGGGCUUUUGCCUCUGCUGUUCCUGCAGCUUGGAAUGCACUCCCUCCACCUCCAACCAGAGCUCCCCACAACUGACCCUGCCUUCUUCUGCAAGCUCCAUUUCAUCAAGGGAAACGAUCCUUAUUGCCUCACCAUUUCCCACGUGAAGUCUGUAUUGACAUUCUCAUAGACCUGGGAUAUUGUGUCUGCAGCACAUAGUCCAAUUAUUUUCAUGUUAUCUACUGACAGGUCUAUUUGUCUCCCUGUUACACUGUGAGCUCCGUGAGGGCAGAAACAAUGUUAGUAUUUUCACUGCUGUGUCCCCAGCGCCUGGUCCGGGGCCCGGCACACAGCAGGCAUAUAAUAAGCAUGUGUUGAAUCAAUAAAGGCAUCAAAGAAUAAACCAAUACAUCAAUCAAUAAAUGAAUGAAUGGCCUCAGC